AAGCCCUAGCUUGGGACGUGAUCCGCAGGGAGCCGGUGAUCGUGCGUCUCCACUGCUCUCUGACACAGUACCUGAAUGGACCAGUCCCCACGGUGGACGUGUCCAGGUGUCGACUAAGGACCGGUUUGGACUGGGACAUCAGUUGAAGAAGAUAAUGCAGACAUUUGUCACCCAGCAGUGGAAAACACCCAAAGUGAAGAGAAGCUCAACUCCCUUCACAACAAAAACAAGAACAAGAAGAAGGUCAAAUCCCCCUCCACAUCUUCUCAACCCUCCGCAGAUCUCCCAGCUACCCGCCUCCUGCUGUGCAAGAGCAAGAAGAAUCUGAAGCCGGAACAAGAUGGCGUCUCCUAAAUCCCACCGUCUCCUCGGCCAGACUUGCUCCAGCACCGUCAAACAGCAGGUUGAGGCGGAGGUCCCUGGACCUAAAAGACCGCCACCGUCUCCUCGGACAGUCCCUGUCUAGCACAGACCCCCGUAUGGACCACGGAGGAGGGACCUGCCCCGCGACCCCUGCCCCUCAACCACGCCGCAUCCUGGCAGGCCCUGCUCGGCUUUGUCAAACCAGAGGACCUCCGUCCCACUCCCCACAAGCUCCUGCCCGCUUGUGCUCCGGCGACCCCCGCUGUGAGCACGCUGGUGGGGGAGGAGGUAGUCUGGAGGAGGUUUGAAGCACCACAGGCUGCUCAGUAGGUCGUGCUCUGGUUUCUAUCAGGACGGAGGAAUUAGAUGGACUGAAACACCACCACCACCUCCUCA